AUCCAGCUGACGAGUCACAAAUAGGACGAAACACGCGUCCUGGAU
rfam:Schistosoma rodhaini strain Burundi genome assembly, scaffold: SROB_scaffold0005733